CGGGAGGCAGCAGUAGGGAAUCUUCCACAAUGGACGAAAGUCUGAUGGAGCAACGCCGCGUGAGUGAUGAAGGUUUUCGGAUCGUAAAACUCUGUUGUUAAAGAAGAACAAGUGUUAGAGUAACUGUUAACACUUUGACGGUAUUUAACCAGAAAGCCACGGCUAACUACGUGCCAGCAGCCGCGGUAAUACGUAGGUGGCAAGCGUUGUCCGGAUUUAUUGGGCGUAAAGCGAGCGCAGGCGGUUUUGUAAGUCUGCUGUGAAAGCCCUCAGCUCAACUGAGGAAGUGCAGUGGAAACUACAAAACUUGAGUACAGAAGAGGAAAGUGGAACUCCAUGUGUAGCGGUGAAAAUGCGUAGAUAUAUGGNAAGAACACCAGUGGCGAAGGCGGCUUUCUGGUCUGUUACUGACNCUUGAAGCUCGAAAGCAUGGGUAGCGAACAGGAUUAGAUACCCUGGUAGUCCAUGCCGUAAACGAUGAAUACUAGGUGUUGGAGGGUUUCCGCCCUUCAGUGCCGCAGCUAACGCAUUAAGUAUUCCGCCUGGGGAGUACGACCGCAAGGUUGAAACUCAAAGGAAUUGACGGGGGCCCGCACAAGUGGUGGAGCAUGUGGUUUAAUUCGAUGCUACGCGAAGAACCUUACCAGCUCUUGACAUCUUCUGCCAACCCAAGAGAUUGGGCGUUCCCUUCGGGGACAGAAUGACAGGUGGUGCAUGGUUGUCGUCAGCUCGUGUCGUGAGAUGUUGGGUUAAGUCCCGCAACGAGCGCAACCCUUAUUAUUAGUUGCCAGCAUUUAGUUGGGCACUCUAGUGAGACUGCCGGUGAUAAACCGGAGGAAGGUGGGGACGACGUCAAAUCAUCAUGCCCCUUAUGAGCUGGGCUACACACGUGCUACAAUGGAUGGUACAACGAGUCGCGAAACCGCGAGGUCAAGCUAAUCUCUUAAAGCCAUUCUCAGUUCGGAUUGCAGGCUGCAACUCGCCUGCAUGAAGUUGGAAUCACUAGUAAUCGUGGAUCAGCAUGCCACGGUGAAUANGUUCCCGGGCCUUGUACAGCAC
rnacentral:rRNA from 2 species